rnacentral:rRNA from 1 species
CGGUGGAUGAUGUGGUUAAUUCGAUGCAACGCGAAAACCUUACCACCUUGACAUGUACGGAAUCCUUAGAGAUAGAGGAGUGCUCGAAAGAGAGGCCGUAACGACAGGUGCUGCAUGGCUGUCGUCAGCUCGUGUCGUGAGAUGUUGGGUUAAGUCCCGCAACGAGCGCAACCCUUGUCAUUAGUUGCUACAUUCAGUUGGGCACUCUAAUGAGACUGCCGGUGACAAAACCGGAGGAAGUGGGGAUGACGUCAAGUCCUCAUGGCCCUUAUAGUGGGGCUACACACGUCAUACAAUGGAUGGUACAAAGGGUCGCCAACCCGCGAGGGGGAGCCAAUCCCAUAAAGCCAUUCGUAGUCCGGAUCGCAGUCUGCAACUCGACUGCGUGAAGUUGGAAUCGCUAGUAAUCGUGGAUCAGCCAAGCCGCGGUGAAUACGUUCCCGGGCCUU